AUUGAACGCUGGCGGCAGGCCUAACACAUGCAAGUCGAACGGUAGCACAGAGAGCUUGCUCUCGGGUGACGAGUGGCGGACGGGUGAGUAACGUCUGGGAAACUGCCCGAUGGAGGGGGAUAACUACUGGAAACGGUAGCUAAUACCGCAUAACGUCGCAAGACCAAAGUGGGGGACCUUCGGGCCUCACACCAUCGGAUGUGCCCAGAUGGGAUUAGCUAGUAGGUGGGGUAAUGGCUCACCUAGGCGACGAUCCCUAGCUGGUCUGAGAGGAUGACCGGCCACACUGGAACUGAGACACGGUCCAGACUCCUACGGGAGGCAGCAGUGGGGAAUAUUGCACAAUGGGCGCAAGCCUGAUGCAGCCAUGCCGCGUGUAUGAAGAAGGCCUUCGGGUUGUAAAGUACUUUCAGCGGGGAGGAAGGCGGUGAAGUUAAUAGCUUCACCGAUUGACGUUACCCGCAGAAGAAGCACCGGCUAACUCUGUGCGAGCCGCCGCUGUAA
rnacentral:rRNA from 1 species